CACGUGAGGGCGCGAGCGUUGUCCGGAAUUAUUGGGCGUAAAGAGCUCGUAGGCGGCCUGUUGCGUCCGCUGUGAAAGCCCGGGGCUUAACCCCGGGUCGCAGUGGAUACGGGCAGGCUAGAGGUAGGUAGGGGAGAAUGGAAUUCCCGGUGUAGCGGUGAAAUGCGCAGAUAUCGGGAGGAGCACCGGUGGCGAAGGCGGUUCUCUGGGCCGUUACCUGACGCCUGAGGAGCGAAAGCGUGGGGAGCGAAACAGGG
rnacentral:rRNA from 1 species